rnacentral:sRNA from 1 species
UGAUACGAGGGUCAAAAAGUCAUAGUUUCUUGCAUGAAAAAACAUAACUUGGGAACCCAUAAAACAUUAAGUAGCCCGAGCAGGGCGGAUUUUGAAUGUUUUUAGGAUUGUGGCAGCAGUGCGUAACAAUACGUAGGUAUCU